UAACCCCGCCUGGGACUUAAGCAUAUCAAUAAGCGGAGGAAAAAGAAACCAACCGGGAUUGCCUCAGUAACGGCGAGUGAAGCGGCAAGAGCUCAAAUUUGAAAUCUGGCCCCUUUGGGGUCCGAGUUGUAAUUUGGAGAGGAUGCUUCGGGUGCGGCCCCUAUCUAAGUGCCCUGGAACGGGCCGUCAUAGAGGGUGAGAAUCCCGUCUGGGAUGGGCGGCCGUGCCCGUGUGAAGCUCCUUCGACGAGUCGAGUUGUUUGGGAAUGCAGCUCUAAGCGGGUGGUAAAUUUCAUCUAAAGCUAAAUACUGGCCGGAGACCGAUAGCGCACAAGUAGAGUGAUCGAAAGAUGAAAAGCACUUUGAAAAGAGAGUUAAACAGCACGUGAAAUUGUUGAAAGGGAAGCGUUGGCCACCAGACGCGCCCGAGGGGGUUCAGCCGGCACUUGUGCCGGUGCACUCCCCCCCGGGUGGGCCAGCAUCGGUUUGGGCGGUCGCUGAAAGGCUCCAGGAAUGUAGCACCCUCCGGGGUGCCUUAUAGCCUGGGGUGUCAUGCGGCCCGCCUGGACCGAGGCCCGCGCUUCGGCGAGGAUGCUGGCGUAAUGGUGGUCAACGGCCCGUCUUGAAACACGGACCAAGGAGUCUAACAUCUAUGCGAGUGUUCGGGUGUCAAACCCGUCCGCGCAGUGAAAGCGAACGCAGGUGGGAACCCUUCGGGGCGCACCAUCGACCGAUCCUGAUGUCUUCGGAUGGAUUUGAGUAAGAGCAUAGCUGUUGGGACCCGAAAGAUGGUGAACUAUGCCUGAAUAGGGCGAAGCCAGAGGAAACUCUGGUGGAGGCUCGCAGCGGUUCUGACGUGCAAAUCGAUCGUCAAAUUUGGGGUAUAGGGGCGAAAGACUAAUCGAACCAUCUGGUAGCUGGUUCCUGCCGAAGUUUCCCCUCAGGAAA
rnacentral:rRNA from 1 species